GCCCCCGUGGUGUAAUGGUUACACGCCGUGGCCAUAUCUGAGGGAGGUAUAGUUAUACCUACGGAGUUCUGGGUUCGAAACCCAGCGGUGGCU